UACGUAGGGUGCAAGCGUUGUCCGGAAUUAUUGGGCGUAAAGAGCUCGUAGGCGGUUCGUCACGUCGGCUGUGAAAUCCCGAGGCUCAACCUCGGGUCUGCAGUCGAUACGGGCGGACUUGAGUACUGCAGGGGAGACUGGAAUUCCUGGUGUAGCGGUGAAAUGCGCAGAUAUCAGGAGGAACACCGGUGGCGAAGGCGGGACUCUGGGCCGAUACUGACGCUGAGGAGCGAAAGCGUGGGGAGCAAACAGG
rnacentral:rRNA from 1 species